rnacentral:rRNA from 1 species
AGAGAGAGACAUGCGCGCAUAUCAAUAAGCGGAGGAAAAGAAACUAACAAGGAUUCCCUUAGUAACGGCGAGUGAAGCGGGAAGAGCUCAAAUUUGAAAUCUUCAAGGUUUUACCUUGACGAAUUGUAGUUUAAAGAAGUGUUUUCUGCUGAAGUUUUGGUAAAAGUUCCUUGGAAUAGGACAUCAUAGAGGGUGAGAAUCCCGUAUUUGACCAUUAUUUUCAGCUUUGUGAUACACUUUCAAAGAGUCGGAUUGUUUGGGAAUGCAGUCCAAAAUGGGUGGUAAAUUUCAUCUAAAGCUAAAUAUUGGCGAGAGACCGAUAGCGAACAAGUACCGUGAGGGGAAGAUGAAAAGAACUUUGAAAAGAGAGUUAAACAGUACGUGAAAUUGUCAAAAGGGAGGCGUUUGACACCAGUGUUGUUUUCUCGAAAAUCAAUUAAAAAUGGCUCGAUUUUGUAUUGUUGAGACCUUAAAAGCUCACUGUACAUUUUUCGUGUCUUUUUUAAUGCACUUUUCGUUUAACAAGUCAACAUCAGUUUCUUUUGUUGUAAAAGGGUCAUUGGAAGGUGGCUUUCUUUUCGGAGAAAGUGUUUAUAGCCUUUGGCCUCUGCAAUCGGAAGAGACUGAGGUCUGCAGCGUAGACUCUUCGGGGUUAGAUACAUUUGUGCUAAGUUAUAGCUUUUUAUAGACAACUUGUUGACUAUAAUUAGUCUUGUAGCUUACUCGCUUAUGCUAUUUUACCUACGCUUAGGAUGUUGAGUCGUAGAGCACGCAG